CAAAAUAACACUACGAUAUGACGACUAUUGCCUUUAUAGCCCCUUACGCCUUACCACAAAAAACACAUUGUAAAAUUAUGUUUAAAAAUACAUGCUACCACUUGUACUUAAGUUAAAUGAUUAGUGGAGAUUUUAUCAACUCAAUAAUAUUAAAAUCAGGACCGACGUUAGAGGUGAACGACCAGGGCCUACGCCCUGCUGUAAGGAGGGUGCCUCAACGGUAAUAACUGUACUCGAUUAAUUAGAGAAAGGACCCAAAAACAUGGUUCCGCCCAGGGCGUCGACAUAUGUAACGCCGGCACUAAUUAAAAUUUACUUCCAAAAACAUUUACAAGUAGUCUUGUUUCAUUUUCACAAGUAUGUAUUAUUGUAUUCUGUAACUGUGAAAUUAACAAACUAUACCUAUUCAGUAUGUGGACUUGGUAAAGAAACCAAAUUUUCACCACAAAACAAAGAAAACUUGCACUGUGCAACGUUAGUAAUACAUUUUCGAUAACACUAUUACGAAAUAAGAUAUUCUAGUUUGAAAAACUUAAAACCAUCAGAUUUUUAAACAAUAAUAACUGUUUUUGUAUUGGUAAUACCGGAAAAAAAUCAAUUUUACGUAGUACAAGUAGUUUUUCUCGCACAAAACUGUUUUUAUAGUCAAAUUACUGAUCACAUCACGCCCUCUUAAACAGACAACCCCAAGUGAAAUGCGAGUGGCCCGUAUUCUUCGUAUUUGAUAAUAACUCUGUGUAUUUUGUUUGUUGUAUCAAAAGGUUUUUUUUUUU